rnacentral:rRNA from 1 species
AGCGAACGCUGGCGGCAGGCCUAACACAUGCAAGUCGAACGAACUCUUCGGAGUUAGUGGCGGACGGGUGAGUAACACGUGGGAACGUGCCUUUUGGUUCGGAAUAACUCAGGGAAACUUGUGCUAAUACCGAAUGUGCCCUUCGGGGGAAAGAUUUAUCGCCAUUAGAGCGGCCCGCGUCUGAUUAGCUAGUUGGUGAGGUAACGGCUCACCGAGGCGACGAUCAGUAGCUGGUCUGAGAGGAUGACCAGCCACACUGGGACUGAGACACGGCCCAGACUCCUACGGGAGGCAGCAGUGGGGAAUCUUGCGCAAUGGGCGAAAGCCUGACGCAGCCAUGCCGCGUGAAUGAUGAAGGUCUUAGGAUUGUAAAAUUCUUUCACCGGGGACGAUAAUGACGGUACCCGGAGAAGAAGCCCCGGCUAACUUCGUG